AUUGAACGCUGGCGGCAGGCCUAACACAUGCAAGUCGAGCGGAGCGGGGGACGGGUGAGUAAUGCCUAGGAAUCUGCCUGGUAGUGGGGGAGAACGUCCGGAAACGGGCGCUAAUACCGCAUACUAUCAGAUGAGCCUAGGUCGGAUUGGCUAGUUGGUGGGGUAAAGGCCUACAAGGGCGACGAUCCGUAACUGGUCUGAGAGGAUGAUCAGUCACACUGGAACUGAGACACGGUCCAGCUUCCUACGGGAGGCAGAAGUGGGGAUGAUUGGACAAGGGGCGAAAGCCUGAUCCAGCAAUGCCGCGUGUGUGAAGAAGGUCUUCGGAGUGUAAAGCACUUUAAGUUGGGAGGCGUUACCAACAGAAUAAGCACCGGCUAACUUCGUGCCAGCAGCCGCGGUAAUUC
rnacentral:rRNA from 1 species